GACGAACGCUGGCGGCGUGCUUAACACAUGCAAGUCGAGCGGAAAGGCCACUUCGGUGGUACUCGAGCAGCGAACGGGUGAGUAACACGUGAGUAAUCUGCCCUUCACUCUGGGAUAGCCACCGGAAACGGUGAUUAAUACCGGAUACGACCACUCCACGCAUGUGGUGGUGGUGGAAACUUUUUGGGUGGGGGAUGUGCUCGCGGCCGAUCAGCUUGUUGGUGGGGUAAUGGCCUACCAAGGCUUCGACGGGUAGCCGGCCUGAGAGGGUGACCGGCCACACUGGGACUGAGACACGGCCCAGACUCCUACGGGAGGCAGCAGUGGGGAAUAUUGGACAAUGGGCGGAAGCCUGAUCCAGCAACGCCGCGUGAGGGAUGACGGCCUUCGGGUUGUAAACCUCUUUCAGCACCGACGAAGCGCAAGUGACGGUAGGUGCAGAAGAAGGACCGGCCAACUACGUGCCAGCCGCCGCAGUAA
rnacentral:rRNA from 1 species